rnacentral:rRNA from 1 species
CCUGACCAGUACUUGGAUGGGAGACCGUCUAGGAAAGCUGG